ensembl:processed_transcript 9130019P16Rik RIKEN cDNA 9130019P16 gene
GUGAGACGCAGAGGGACUCUGGUUCACUCACCUGUAGGGGCUUUCAGGGCCACUGCGGCGCCGCGCUGCACCGUGCGGGCUCUCUAGAACACGGAGGGGGCGUCUCGGGGUGCCUGAAGCUUAGUCGCGGUGUCCCUUAUCGCUGACUAGGAGAGAUGCAGGAAUCGUUGUUGCUGAUCUCGCCCAACACCCCUGACACUCGCACACUGUCGGAACAACCUGGGGUUGGCAGCACGGUCCGCUCCAGUGGCAGGGACUGUCAGAUCCUCCGCCCCAGGUUAUUGAACCUAGGAUUUGUGCAUCCUGGGCAAAUGCUCUCCCACAGAGAUAAAUCAGCAGCCCACUCAGGCUCUUUCUGCUUGGCCUUGAAAGUUGGAUGCUCUUACCAAGAUACAGAAUUCAUAUGGACCAAGACUACAUUCAGUUUAGAGAUUAAGGGGCAGGACACAGGUAUGCUUGGCAGCUGGAAUGGCCAAAAAAUGUUCCAAUAAUACUUUAUUAAUGCUGAAGAUUUGGAAGGGCAGAACUGCUGAAGAGAGCAUGUGAAGAUAGAUAUACAUCUGGCAACUCUGAAAGAUUUUCUGUUGGAUGGAUAAGCCUAUAAAGAGCUGCUUUUUUUAGAAUUACAUGGGGAAAUCUUCAGAACUGCUAA